CACGUAGGGCGCAAGCGUUGUCCGGAAUUAUUGGGCGUAAAGAGCUCGUAGGCGGUCUGUCGCGUCGGCUGUGAAAACCCGGGGCCCAACCCCGGGCCUGCAGUCGAUACGGGCAGACUAGAGUGCGGUAGGGGAGACUGGAAUUCCUGGUGUAGCGGUGAAAUGCGCAGAUAUCAGGAGGAACACCGAUGGCGAAGGCGGGUCUCUGGGCCGUAACUGACGCUGAGGAGCGAAAGCGUGGGGAGCGAACAGG
rnacentral:rRNA from 1 species